UUGAAGAGUUUGAUCAUGGCUCAGAUUGAACGCUGGCGGCAGGCCUAACACAUGCAAGUCGAGCGGUAGCACAGAGAGCUUGCUCUCGGGUGACGAGCGGCGGACGGGUGAGUAAUGUCUGGGAAACUGCCUGAUGGAGGGGGAUAACUACUGGAAACGGUAGCUAAUACCGCAUAACGUCGCAAGACCAAAGUGGGGGACCUUCGGGCCUCAUGCCAUCAGAUGUGCCCAGAUGGGAUUAGCUAGUAGGUGGGGUAACGGCUCACCUAGGCGACGAUCCCUAGCUGGUCUGAGAGGAUGACCAGCCACACUGGAACUGAGACACGGUCCAGACUCCUACGGGAGGCAGCAGUGGGGAAUAUUGCACAAUGGGCGCAAGCCUGAUGCAGCCAUGCCGCGUGUGUGAAGAAGGCCUUCGGGUUGUAAAGCACUUUCAGCGGGGAGGAAGGCGGUGAGGUUAAUAACCUCACCGAUUGACGUUACCCGCAGAAGAAGCACCGGCUAACUCCGUGCCAGCAGCCGCGGUAAUACGGAGGGUGCAAGCGUUAAUCGGAAUUACUGGGCGUAAAGCGCACGCAGGCGGUCUGUCAAGUCGGAUGUGAAAUCCCCGGGCUCAACCUGGGAACUGCAUUCGAAACUGGCAGGCUAGAGUCUUGUAGAGGGGGGUAGAAUUCCAGGUGUAGCGGUGAAAUGCGUAGAGAUCUGGAGGAAUACCGGUGGCGAAGGCGGCCCCCUGGACAAAGACUGACGCUCAGGUGCGAAAGCGUGGGGAGCAAACAGGAUUAGAUACCCUGGUAGUCCACGCCGUAAACGAUGUCGAUUUGGAGGUUGUGCCCUUGAGGCGUGGCUUCCGGAGCUAACGCGUUAAAUCGACCGCCUGGGGAGUACGGCCGCAAGGUUAAAACUCAAAUGAAUUGACGGGGGCCCGCACAAGCGGUGGAGCAUGUGGUUUAAUUCGAUGCAACGCGAAGAACCUUACCUGGUCUUGACAUCCACAGAACUUUCCAGAGAUGGAUUGGUGCCUUCGGGAACUGUGAGACAGGUGCUGCAUGGCUGUCGUCAGCUCGUGUUGUGAAAUGUUGGGUUAAGUCCCGCAACGAGCGCAACCCUUAUCCUUUGUUGCCAGCGGUCCGGCCGGGAACUCAAAGGAGACUGCCAGUGAUAAACUGGAGGAAGGUGGGGAUGACGUCAAGUCAUCAUGGCCCUUACGACCAGGGCUACACACGUGCUACAAUGGCAUAUACAAAGAGAAGCGACCUCGCGAGAGCAAGCGGACCUCAUAAAGUAUGUCGUAGUCCGGAUUGGAGUCUGCAACUCGACUCCAUGAAGUCGGAAUCGCUAGUAAUCGUAGAUCAGAAUGCUACGGUGAAUACGUUCCCGGGCCUUGUACACACCGCCCGUCACACCAUGGGAGUGGGUUGCAAAAGAAGUAGGUAGCUUAACCUUCGGGAGGGCGCUUACCACUUUGUGAUUCAUGACUGGGGUGAAGUCGUAACAAGGUAACCGUAGGGGAACCUGCGGUUGGAUCACCUCCUU
rnacentral:rRNA from 1 species